rnacentral:piRNA from 1 species
UGAACAUUUUUUUCUUGGUGGUAUUCAGAUC